UGUCUAGUCCAGCAUUUUCCAAACACUUCCUUGAAUGAGACACUCAUACGUGGUCAGAUAAGAUAGGGCUGCCUCUUAGAGAUUCAUAAACUACAUUAGUGACUUAAAGGCUCUGAUAAGUCCUGCAGUGAGAAGACCUGUUUAUAAUUUUGUUUUUACUGGCACCAUACAAGACCUUGAACUCUCCUGCUCCUGUUUCUAGAUGCCUAGUAACAGCUUGAAGUACAUUGGUAAAUUCUGAUCUUGUCUACCUCUUCAUAAGACCAACAGUAAAACUGAGGCUCCAGAGGCUGUGGGAUUUGCUCAGGGCCACACCGCCAGAAGUAGAUCCAGCCAUCCUGACUCAGAACCAGCCAGAGAGGCCUGACAUUGAAUGUCAGACACUGCCAGGGAGAAGUGGGUAAUCUCAGCUCCCAAUGACCCCAUUUUACAGACGUGGAAAUUGAGACUGCAUGACUCACCCAAAGCCUCUGGAUUAGUAAGAUACUUAGCUGAGAUCUCAACAUGGAGCUGCCAGACCCCACCUGUUAUGAAGCACCUACAAAAGAGGAUGGUGAAAAACCCUCCAGGCUGGACAGAGGGUCUCCUAGAGGGACCACAGGGUGGAGUCGACCCUUGGACUUGGGCUAGAAGCAUCUAAGACCCUAAUUAAAACAAGGACAGAAGGAAUGGUGAUAAUCGGUCUGUUUACAGAGUGCCAGGCAAGCACUAUUAUUAGCUCCAUUUUAUAGACACUCCGCAUAUAUUAUCAUAGAUAGUCUGCAUAUGUUUAAUCUUUCCUACACCCUUACAGGACAGAUAUUAUUAUGGUCUCCAUUCUGCAAAUAGGAGAAAUGAGGCUCAGAGGGAUGAAGACUUUCUCGUCCACAUCCGCCAUGCUAGUGAACAGCAGUGCUGGGAUCUGAACCCAGGUUUCAAAGAGCAUCUAUUAUUCAUUAUUUAUUGGGGCCUUCCUGGAUGCCUGACACUAUAACAAUAACGACGACAAUAAUAAUACUAAUUCCUUGUGUUCCAGGUCAUAGAAUGUGAAAGGAAAAUAAAUCUUGGGGCCCCCAAAUCACUAAGCUAAAGGGAAAAGUCAAGCUGGGAACUGUUUAGGGCCAACCUACCCCCCAUUCUAUUCAAAGGCAGCCCUCUGCUCACUGACAUAGAUGCAUUAUCUGUUUGUCUCCUUUGGAAAGGCUAAUCAGAAACUCAAAAGAAUGCGACCAUUUGUCUCUCACCUACCUGUGACCUGGAAAACCCCUCCCUGCUUCAAGUUGUCCUGCAUUUCUAGAUCGAACCAAUGUACUUCUUACAUAUAUUGAUUGAUGUCUCAUGUCUCUCUAAAAUGUAUAAAAUUAAGCUGUGCCCAGACCACCUUGGGCAUGUGACAGGAGGACUUCCUGAGGCUGUGUCAUGGGAGUGUCCUCAACCUCGGCAAAAUAAACUUCCUAAAUGAACUGA